rnacentral:rRNA from 1 species
CCUACGGGUGGCAGCAGUGAGGAAUAUUGGUCAAUGGACGCAAGUCUGAACCAGCCAUGCCGCGUGCAGGAAGACGGCUCUAUGAGUUGUAAACUGCUUUUGUACGAGGGUAAACGCAGAUACGCGUAUCUGUUUGAAAGUAUCUUACGAAUAAGGAUCGGCUAACUCCGUGCCAGCAGCCGCGGUAAUACGGAGGAUUCAAGCGUUAUCCGGAUUUAUUGGGUUUAAAGGGUGCGAAGGCGGUCGGAUAAGUUAGAUGUGAAAUCCCGAGGCUCAACUGCGGAAUUGCAUCUGAUACUGUUCGGCUAGAGUGUAGUAGCGGUAGGCGGAAUGUAUGGUGUAGCGGUGAAAUGCUUAGAGAUCAGACAGAACACCAAUGGCGAAGGCAGCUUACCAAGCUACUUCUGACGUUGAGGCACGAAAGCGUGGGGAGCAAACAGGAUUAGAUACCCCUGUAGUC